GACGAACGCUGGCGGCGUGCUUAACACAUGCAAGUCGAACGGAAAGGCCCUGCUUUUGUGGGGUGCUCGAGUGGCGAACGGGUGAGUAACACGUGAGUAACCUGCCCUUGACUUUGGGAUAACUUCAGGAAACUGGGGCUAAUACCGGAUAGGAGCUCCUGCUGCAUGGUGGGGGUUGGAAAGUUUCGGCGGUUGGGGAUGGACUCGCGGCUUAUCAGCUUGUUGGUGGGGUAGUGGCUUACCAAGGCUUUGACGGGUAGCCGGCCUGAGAGGGUGACCGGCCACAUUGGGACCGAGAUACGGCCCAGACUCCUACGGGAGGCAGCAGUGGGGAAUAUUGCACAAUGGGCGGAAGCCUGAUGCAGCAACGCCGCGUGCGGGAUGACGGCCUUCGGGUUGUAAACCGCUUUCGCCUGUGACGAAGCGUGAGUGACGGUAAUGGGCAAAGAAGCACCGGCUAACUACGUG
rnacentral:rRNA from 1 species